AACGAACGCUGGCGGCAGGCUUAACACAUGCAAGUCGAGGGGUAGAGGAAGCUUGCUUCCUUGAGACCGGCGCACGGGUGCGUAACGCGUAUGCAAUCUACCUUUUACAGAGGGAUAGCCCAGAGAAAUUUGGAUUAAUACCUCAUAGUAUUUUCGAAUGGCAUCAUUUGAUUAUUAAAGUACCAACGGUAAAAGAUGAGCAUGCGUCCUAUUAGCUAGAUGGUAAGGUAACGGCUUACCAUGGCAACGAUAGGUAGGGGUCCUGAGAGGGAGAUCCCCCACACUGGUACUGAGACACGGACCAGACUCCUACGGGAGGCAGCAGUGAGGAAUAUUGGACAAUGGGCGCAAGCCUGAUCCAGCCAUGCCGCGUGCAGGAAGACGCAUCUAUGGUGUGUAAACUGCUUUUGUACGGGAAGAAACACUCCCUCGUGAGGGAGCUUGACGGUACCGUAAGAAUAAGGAUCGGCUAACUCCGUGCCAGCAGCCGCCGUAAAAC
rnacentral:rRNA from 1 species